rnacentral:lncRNA from 1 species
CCUCCUUAUUGACAUCCUCUCCUCCCUUGGCUUCUGAGACACUCUAUUCUGGUUUUCCAUGGGCUUGGCCACCUGGCUCAUUAUGCCUCUGAGGAAGGAGGUGGAGAGUUGGGUGAGUGCCUGAAGGAAAAGCCCAUCUAGACAGAGGAGCAGCCAGCUGAGUGCCACAGUCUAGGAAGGAGAGUGAGGAACUGGAAACUGUUCAGAAGAAAGAAAACAGAAUACUGAAUCUUCAAAUCCAUUCCAUGAUUAGGGCAGAGAGAGAUUGCAGGUGACUGAGAAAUUGAAGAAUAAAGUCGCAUUCCAGAGAUGUCAAAUAUAUACUGUGUGACUUUCCAUGGAAGGAAUAUGGCCUAGAGUUAGAAGACCCAUUUUUAGUGUUUGUAGCCUUGGCUUUUUCAGAUAGAUACACAGUGCCAGAAAUAGUCUGUUGUGGUCAGUCAUCUCAUCAAGUCUCCUGCUUUCUGAAAGCUGUUUGGUGCCGGGAACCUGAAUUAUUAUUUAAGAAGAAGGGAAAAAAAGUUUAUUUAUUGUGA